AGAAGACGACGACAUGGCAGAGGAUGGAUUAGAUUGUCCCUAUCAGUGCGGCAGCAACUGGGUUGUGUGCGCAGCCGGCGUCGAGGAGGAAGAACCGCUGCUCACGACCUCGCACUACGACAUCGCAUCUUCUACUAUCGCACCUGUGGAGUCCUAGAUCUGGGAUCGUCGGAAGCAAGUGUACAUCUAGGGAUUUAUUUGAUUUGAAAUGUAUUAUGUUAGCUUAGCCUACUCUGUUGAUGUUGGUAUGUCAGGCUUUUAUAUUUCAGAAAGAUGGUCAUUGCAAAUGGCAAUGUCGACAUGGAGGAAGGAACCCUUGAAAUCGGGAUGGAGUACAGGACAGUUUCUUGACUUGCUGCUCCUCUUGUGAUUCUUGAUAAAGUGAAUUUUCAGGCAUUACUUCCAAGUCACAACCUGCAUAUUUUAGAAAUUU